CCUGUAGCGCAAUGAAUAGCGCAUUGGACUCCUAAUCCAAAGUCGUGGGCUCUAAUCCCAUGUGGUGGA
rnacentral:tRNA from 1 species